ACGAAGGGUGCAAGCGUUAAUCGGAAUUACUGGGCGUAAAGCGCGCGUAGGUGGUUCAGCAAGUUGGAGGUGAAAUCCCCGGGCUCAACCUGGGAACUGCCUCCAAAACUACUGAGCUAGAGUACGGUAGAGGGUAGUGGAAUUUCCUGUGUAGCGGUGAAAUGCGUAGAUAUAGGAAGGAACACCAGUGGCGAAGGCGACUACCUGGACUGAUACUGACACUGAGGUGCGAAAGCGUGGGGAGCAAACAGGA
rnacentral:rRNA from 1 species